rnacentral:piRNA from 1 species
UCAAUUGUGCUGUAUUUUAUUUAAAUAG